CAGGCAAUCGGUGAAAUUGAUCUCCCUGUGCAAAAGCAGGGAUAAACCCAUAAGACGAGAAGACCCUGUGGAACUUCAAAAUCAGCAACCAACCNUAAAAACAUACACACCCAACUNGGGCUUACCUACCACAUAGGGNUANUGGUNUGCAUUUUUCGGUUGGGGCGACCUUGGAGCAAAACAAAACCUCCAAAAAUUGGACCAUACAUCCAGACUGAGAGCAACCCCUCAACGUGCUAAUAGCACCCAGACCCAAUACAAUUGAUCAAUGGACCAAGCUACCCCAGGGAUAACAGCGCA
rnacentral:rRNA from 1 species